AUACUUACUUGAACGGGAUCUAUGGGCGAUUGAUAAGGUCCAUGGUCUAGGUUGGUGACCUCCAUUGCACUGAGGAGGGGUGCCUGCCUAAGGUCUACUCAAGUAGUAGAGCCUACAUUAUAAUUUGUGGUAGUGGGGCCUACGUCCGCGCGGCCCCUGC